GAGACAGACGCUGACUUGACCCUUGAAUCCAACGACUUGUCGUCCCAACCCCACACGUUUAACCGUCUCCUCCGCCCACCUGGUAAUUUCGCCUGUUGAAUCAGGUAAAUUGAAUCCUUCAUUUCAACUGGGAUUCAUGCAUUCCUAGCCCCAAUUAGUCAAAACCAGAAAUUCCCAGACCUCAAACUUUCACACAUGGCGGAGCCACCAAAUGAAAACCACAUCAGGCGCUUCAAGUUCCUGUGGCGAGUCCUCAUGAUCUCCAAUCUCGCUCUCGGAGGUUACAUGUUUAUUGGGGCUAAGAAGAGAGACACAGGAUUCAUGAAUAAGAAGAAAGCCAAGGAAAUUGGCAUUAAAAAGCACAAAGCUGUAGUUGAUGAAGUGCCCUCUUCUCCUCCAGCUCCUCCUCCCACAACUACUACAAGUUCGGAGACAUGGGAUUUGUGAAGGUGUAGCUUCCUAUCCCUGAAGACCAGCAACACGAACUUGUACGGUGGAUGCUGGAGUGUAAAAGAAAGUUAAAUAUCCAGGAUCUUGAAGAAGAAACGAAAUUAUGAAAGAAAAAUCAAGCUUUAAUCAUUUUUUUCCUGUGCAAAACCUGUACCAAGCUUUUAAUUGGUGCUGCUGUUUACUGACAGAAUUCUACACAGAGAGAUGUUGUUUCAAAGUAUAGACCACAGAACUUAGAUUUUUGGGAAACGAAUAUUGAAGUAGGUUAAUUUUCAGUGACUUUGUAAUCAUGUUAGUUUUGACUUCAUGAAAUAUUUGCAGCAGAUUAACAUGUGGA